AGCUUAAAAAAUAAUUUUUUCUGGGGCUGAAACAAGUAGCCAUAGUAGCACAUUAACACAAUAAUGAGGUUAUUCGUGACUGUUCAAAAUAAACACAGAACUCGCAAGUUUGGCGAACUUGCACUCGUUAACGCUUGUGGACUCUUUCAAAGUUGGCAUGGGAAGUGGGUCACCUACCCAUGGUGUUUAACGUAGAGCACUUAGGUUGAGUCGAAUCUUCAGAACACACGGUGCUUGGCAUAAUUUUGCACUACACGUUCCUACACUACACGUUCCUUGCUUAUAUGUUCCUACUACUGCACAACGUGUAUCUCCAGCUGGAACCAAAUCUUUUCGUCGCACAUUAUCACGUUUGUGACCAUGUAGGUGUGUUAAGAAGAGUGUGACUGCCUUAAAUAAACUCAUCAUGUUGUUGCACCGUGUGUAAUUAACUGUAAAACUUUUGUGGGGGUCAUUAUGAUUGAUAGGUGUGUUCUCUACAGACGCCUGCUUUGAUAUUAUAUGAAUAAACAUUUGUUCACUGCUAUGAACUGUCACAAUUUCCCCCUUGAACUAUUUAAACAUAUCCUCUCAUAUACAGACGCUUCUCUGCUGUGCGAAAUUGCAAUGUAUGAGCCUCUACUACAUGUUGCAUGUUUUGGUAAUACUGGCGGCAAGGACAUGCCGUGGCACCCUCUGCCGAAUUAUCUCUGUGACGUGGUACUGACAGUGCGCAAUGUUCGACGUCUUGAGUGAUUCAAGUUUUUCAGUCAUGGCUUUUAUCUAUUUCAAGUGUUUAACGUGUUCAUAUUAGAUGUGUAACUUAGAUGUGUAUUAGAUGUGUAAACUAGUGUGUUUGCCAACAAAGGUUUUUAACGAGCCAACGUGCGGUAAUCGCCACGUCAUGGACUUUUGAUGGAGCGCGUGCGCUUGGUGCCAUGGAUGCCCAACGUGAAGAGGCAGUUUGAUAAAAGUGACUCUGCCGGUGUCUGGAAUCCACCAAUUCGUGUACCAGUGGCUGAGCAUAUUACGGUCGCUGACGGGAGGAGAGACGUUCGAAUAUGCAACACAAAAGAACCGCUUCAGCUCAAGAUUACCGUUGCCGCCCUUGUACUGCAGACAGAGAAAAAAAGCCUUCCAGCCUGGUGUGAAUAAACGUUGCAAAUUCGUAUGU